rnacentral:rRNA from 1 species
AUUGAACGCUGGCGGCAGGCCUAACACAUGCAAGUCGAACGGAGCGGCGGACGGGGGAGUAUGACCUAGGAAUCUGCCAGUGCGUGGUGGAGAACGUUCGGAACCGGGCACUAAUACUGCUUACUAUCACCAGAGCCUAGGCCGGAUUAGCUAGUUGGUGGGGUAAAGGCCUAGCGUGGCGACGACCCGUAGCUGGUCUGAGAGGAUGAUCAGGCACACUGGAACUGAGACACGGUCCAGACUCCUACGGGAGGCAGCAGUGGGGAAUAUUGGACAAUGGGCGAAAGCCUGAUGCAGCCAUGCCGCGUGUAUGAAGAAGGUCUUCGGAUUGUAAAGUACUUUCAGCUGGGAGGCGUUACCAGCAGAAGAAGCACCGGCUAACUCCGUGCCAGCAGCCGCGGUAAUAC